AUUGCUUCUCGGCCUUUUGGCUAAGAUCAAGUGUAGAAAAAUACUGAUUGAAUCUUUGGCUUUUGAAAAUGUUAAUUCAGAAUGUAGAAGGAUGAUUAGAACUUUAAGAGUU
rfam:Mus musculus chromosome 1, GRC primary reference assembly.